CCCUAGGAGUCAGCCUGGAUUGACAUCAUAAAUAAGGAAAACAUUAUCUGGAGUAUCCAGUGCUCCUGAACGCGUGAGCUGGAGGGCAUUAUGAGGCCAUCGUCUUCCACCUGAUUUUUCCCAUAAGAACACAGGGGAGUCACCUUGCAGUCACUCUGGGAAGGUCACUUGCAGACAGUCCCACUCACAGCCCUGCAGACCCGUACUUCAAUACUGCAGUGUUCUCGAGUUGUUUCCGACUAUGACCUGGAGAAGACACCUGUUGACGUAACGUGACUGUUAACUACACUGAGGAAGAGAUCAGACUGAGUUGUAUGAAGAGAGCACAUGCGCAGCCACGUCCUAUAAAUUGUUACUAUCUGCAAAAUGAAGAUAAUGGACAAGCCGUCCCAUCCCGCAGGAGCGUGGUGGAGAUUAAUUAGGCAGCUCAUUUGAGAUUCAAAGUGUGGUGAGUCCACAAGAAAAGCGCUGGGAAGAACAAAGGAGGGACCUGCGCUUCAUUUUAGCAGACCGGCCACACCAAAGACACCAGCAGCCCCUCUGGAGGCACACCCGCGUUUGUUAAUUAACUGGUAUCAAGAAGUCAUGGUGACUGCCAGGGGUUAAUGGGAAGAUAGAACUUACUGGAACAGCUGUAGAGCUGUAAAUCCAGCGCUGCUUGUCUCAAAGGAGCAGGGGUCCUGAGCAUCAAACCUGAGGGGCUUCCUGGCCUUCUGCGCAUGGUUUAGAAACCCUCAGCUUGUAGUUGGGAACAUGAGCAUAUUUUUUCCUAAUGAAAACUAAUAUCCUUUACUUCUCGUAAUGCCUAAAACAACAAUUAUUUUAGAGAGAGAGAGAGACCUAGUUAGUUUGCCUUCCAUAAUCCUUUGAUGGAAGAGUUUUAUUCUCAUAUCCCAGUGUGUGAGACUCAAGACACACGCGUGCACAGACACACAUGCACACACAUACAUGAGCGCACACACAUGCACACACACACACACACAAACACACACAUGCAUGCACACACGGCGGAAUAUGAAGUUUAGCAAGAAACCAGCAGGACACACGGGAGGCCUGAGAGCAGUCCCCAGCCCACCUAGAAGGAAGCGAUAUGAAAUAUACAGAGCAGGAUCUAAUAGAUCCACGGAACUUUUAAAUCAUGGCUUGGCCUUGCAAGAGAAACCUAAAUGAACACAAGUCCCAUGGAAAAGUUACAGAAGAAAGUGAGAUGUUUGUCUUUUUGUUAAAGGAAUCUUUCGAGGCAGGUUUUGUGGGAACAGUAAGAGAGGAAGGGGUGUUGAUAAAGAACCAAAUGCAUCCAUCCCCAGGCAGCCCCCACCUCUCUCUGGCAGAGCCCGGACACCUCCUGUCCAGCCUCCGCGUCUGGAGGGAGCUCUGCAUAGACCGCCGCAGGAAAGCCGUGUUCCAGUGAAGGCUCACGCCCUGAAAAAGCACUGUGGUUCUGCCUGGCCAGGAGAGUCCCUGCAUAGGGAAGGAAGGAGAGGUCAGGACAAAUUAAAAAGCAAGCUGUAAAUAAAUUGAAACUAAGAAAUGAAGCAGAAAGAGGCCCCUUGGAGGAGAAGAACGUAAGACUAUCAGCAAGCUGCGGGCAAUGGAGAUAUGGCACCUCGAGAUCUGAGGAAACAGCAGAAGCAGGGUGGUCGCUCAGGCACGCCCCACACAGCUGGGCAGUGAGUCCUUCGUCUGGGCUUGGUUCCUUUGCCAUCAUUCUGUUCAUCGCGGCCCUUCCGGGGGACACCGCGUGGAGCUGGAGGCAGUGAUGGGCAUGGCCCUGACCUCCUACGCGCCACUCUGUGUGUCUGCGUCUUUGUUUACAACAAAAGGUUUAAAAGUUAAAAAUAAACAAAUAUGUUUUAAAGUAG